UGGGCAGUUUGGAGUCUCUGUGUG
rnacentral:misc_RNA from 1 species